rnacentral:rRNA from 1 species
UACGAAGGUGGCAAGCGUUGUUCGGAAUUAUUGGGCGUAAAGGGCGCGUAGGCGGGCGUGCAAGUCGAUUGUGAAAUCCCUGGGCUCAACCUGGGAAUUGCAGUCGAAACUGCAUGUCUUGAAUGCUCGAGAGGAUGGUGGAAUUCCAGGAGUAGUAGUGAAAUACGUAGAUAUCUGGAGGAACACCGGAGGCGAAAGCGGCCAUCUGGCGAGACAUUGACGCUAAUGCGCGAAAGCGUGGGGAUCAAACAGG